rnacentral:misc_RNA from 1 species
AAAGUCGUAACAAGGUCUCCGUUGGUGAACCAGCGGAGGGAUCAUUACCGAGUUUCCAACUCAUAACCCACUGUGAACAUACCAAAGUUGCUUCGGCCCAGGGCACUGCCCGGGGUCGAGGGCCCCCAAACCUCUGUUUUCUAGGUGUAUCUUCUGAGUAACCAAAAAAUAAAUCAAAACCUUCAACAACGGAUCUCUUGGCUCUG